GUCCUCGUAGCGCAGUGGUUUAACGCUGGGAGGUCCUCUUUGGAAGACGCAGGUUCGACUCCUGCCGGGGAUA
rnacentral:tRNA from 2 species